rnacentral:misc_RNA from 1 species
AAGUCGUAACAAGGUCUCCGUUGGUGAACCAGCGGAGGGAUCAUUAUCGAGUUACAGAACUCCCAAACCUUUGUGAACAUACCAUCGUUGCUUCGGCGGGGACACCCGCCCCAGGACGCCCCGGCGCCCUGGGGAACCCGCCGGGGGACCCAAACUCUUGUUUCAUUUUGGAUACUCUGAGUAUUAUACAAAUAAGCAAUCAAAACUUUCAGCAACGGAUCUCUUGGCUCUG